GUCUUUGUAGUACAAUCAAUACACUGGUCUUGUAAACCAGAAAAGGAGAA
rnacentral:tRNA from 1 species